UACGGAGGGUGCGAGCGUUGUCCGGAAUCACUGGGCGUAAAGGGCGCGUAGGCGGCCUGGUAAGUAGGGGGUGAAAUCCUGCGGCUUAACCGCAGGGCUGCCUUCUAAACUGUCAGGCUCGAGCACGGUAGAGGCAGAUGGAAUUCCCGGUGUAGCGGUGGAAUGCGUAGAGAUCGGGAAGAACAUCAGUGGCGAAGGCGGUCUGCUGGGCCGUUGCUGACGCUGAGGAGCGAAAGCCAGGGGAGCAAACGGG
rnacentral:rRNA from 1 species